CAGAUUUUCAGUUCAGUUUUAUUGGUUGCCCACACAGUCAGAUAUUUCACCCAGAAAAUCUGAGGGCCCUACAAAGCUAACCAGUGCUGCACUUGUGCCCAAGAAGAUCCUCAGUUCUGUCAGUAUGAGACAGCAAGAAGUUCAUGUGAAGAGUGGACCUGCUGGUCAUUAAAAGCUAUAGAAAAUCUUCAGACCAUAUGAUACAUGGUGGAAGAAACCAUAAUGUGACCUUGUAAGAAGGAGCAGCAGCAAAGGACUGAAAUUGUGCAGAAUUACAAACAAUUCUCUUCUUCCAGCUACACUUAUUUCAGGACACUGAAUCAGUCAUAUAACUACCUGCACUUUUAUUAGGAGAAGAUGACUGUCAAAACAAACAUGUGAAGAACUCCUGCAGCUAUUUGCAAUCGAAAAGAGAUAAGAAAACAGAACUGUGGGAACUGAUGAUUUAGAUUUACAAAUGGUUUUACUGCUCUGGGAGAAUGGAAGUGACUUCAGCCUGCACAAAAUUCUGAUGAGGAGAAAAUAGUACAUCUUGACUUACCAGAUGUAAAAUAUUUAAUCAUGAAAACAUCCACAGUGGGGCAGAAAAUAACUCAUCAAAUCACAGUUAUUAACUUUUAUUAAAAAGAAGUUUACAGUUUUUAGCAAGUAAAUACAUCAAGUGCUAAAUUUUAAAUUGGAUUAAUUAAUUGUUUGCAUCAUUAUUAUGAACUAUACUAUACAAAUUUAAUUUUAAUGUUAAUUAAAUAAAAUUAAAGUUAUAAUUAAAUGCUGUAAAUUAUGUCUAUUUUAUUAUGACAAAGAGUUAUUGGUUUUAAACAAACUAGGAAGAAUAAACACAAGUCUCAGUGAGUUUAGCAUGUUAUACAUGCAUCUUGGCUUUUAAGGAGACACAUUGAAUGGCUAGAUAUAUGAAACUUUCAGCGCCUGCUAUUUUAAACUGGUUUAAUUUAACAACUCGAUCACUUUUCUCCUGAAAUCAAGUAUUAGUUCCUGCAGAAUCUUUAUUUCUGCUACAUGUGUAUGUGUACAUUGCUAUAGAGUAAGUCUGCAGCAUUGUUCCAUUUUUUGAUAUAGUACUGUAUUCCUUCUACUUUAUAUGUACAUACAGAAGCAUUUACCUCUGUGUGUACAGGUUUACACCUCAGAAAUGGCCUGUCCUUCAUUUCUGUAUUACAUGACAUUAAUGUCAUCCCUCCGGUCCAUCACGUUGAUGGCCAUGGGCCAUCCUUACUCCUCACUUUUCAGAAACUUUUAGUACUUAUUUUAGUAGUUCUGUGAAUUUCUCCUCUCUGCCUGCGUGUUCACCAAGCCAUUGAUUUUAAGGACCACAGGUAAAGACCUUAGACUGUACCUUGUUCCCUUGUCAAAACUGUCACCACAGAAAGUCAGUGAGGGGUGAGAUGCAGAGAUGGAGAUAUUGAG